GGGUAUAUAGCUCAAUGGUAGAGUGCAUGCCUAGUAUGCAUGAGGUCCUUGGUUCAAUCCCCUGUGCCUCCA
rnacentral:tRNA from 1 species